rnacentral:rRNA from 1 species
UAGGGAAUCUUCCACAAUGGACGCAAGUCUGAUGGAGCAACGCCGCGUGAGUGAAGAAGGUCUUCGGAUCGUAAAACUCUGUUGUUAGAGAAGAACACGAGUGAGAGUAACUGUUCAUUCGAUGACGGUAUCUAACCAGCAAGUCACGGCUAACUACGUGCCAGCAGCCGCGGUAAUACGUAGGUGGCAAGCGUUGUCCGGAUUUAUUGGGCGUAAAGGGAACGCAGGCGGUCUUUUAAGUCUGAUGUGAAAGCCUUCGGCUUAACCGGAGUAGUGCAUUGGAAACUGGAUAACUUGAGUGCAGAAGAGGAGAGUGGAACUCCAUGUGUAGCGGUGAAAUGCGUAGAUAUAUGGAAGAACACCAGUGGCGAAAGCGGCUCUCUGGUCUGUAACUGACGCUGAGGUUCGAAAGCGUGGGUAGCAAACAGGAUUAGAUACCCUGGUAGUCCACGCCGUAAACGAUGAAUGCUAGGUGUUGGAGGGUUUCCGCCCUUCAGUGCCGCAGCUAACGCAAUAAGCAUUCCGCCUGGGGAGUACGACCGCAAGGUUG